AACGAACGCUGGCGGCAUGCCUAACACAUGCAAGUCGAACGAGACCUUCGGGUCUGUGGCGCACGGGUGCGUAACGCGUGGGAACCUGCCCUUAGGUUCUGAAUAACUCCCCGAAAGGGGUGCUAAUACCGGAUAAUGUCUUCGGACCAAAGAUUUAUCGCCUUUGGAUGGGCCCGCGUUGGAUUAGCUAGUUGGUAGGGUAAAAGCCUACCAAGGCGACGAUCCAUAGCUGGUCUGAGAGGAUGAUCAGCCACACUGGGACUGAGACACGGCCCAGACUACUACGGGAGGCAGCAGUGGGGAAUAUUGGACAAUGGGCGAAAGCCUGAUCCAGCAAUGCUGCGUGAGUGAUGAAGGCCUUAGGGUUGUAAAGCUCUUUUACCCGGGAUGAUAAUGACAGUACCGGGAGAAUAAGCUCCGGCUAACUCCGUG
rnacentral:rRNA from 1 species